GUGAGCCCGCGUGGUGCCGGAGCCGAGUGGCCUGGCUGAGCGGCGGCGGAGUGAGUGUACCUGGGCCAGACCGGAGGGAGCCUCCGCCCGCGGCCGUGAGCUCCUCCAGCGUUGUUACUGGAGCGCCUACCGUGUGCCAGGCUCUGUUCUGGGCGCGGGGGACCCCGCGGUCCGCAGGAAGCUUACACUCUAGCGCAGUACAUUGAGGGGGACGGUGCCUUUAGCCUCGUGUCCCCCCCUCCCGGCCGUUCAGCGCUGUAUCUGGCGGCGGGAGCUUAAUGCCUGCAGUGAAGCUUCUCCGUAAGUACAUUUAAUUUUGGCAAAUUCAACUCUUUAUUGGGCCUUUUUAAUGAAUUCAAAUAUAUAAUUAUAUUGUGUAUGUGUAUUAAUUACUGUACGGUUAUAAAUUUUCCUUAUCUAUCAGCCUAUUGUACUUGUUAGUAUAUGUAUGAACUAUUUCAGAGAUUUAUCAAGAAUGGGUUUUCCCACGUUUCUCCUCUUAUUUUAGAACUGGGCGCCCUCUUCUUCCUCCAGCCCUGUGUAAGGCCUCUGUACAAAGUUGUCGCUUGCCACGGAGUGGGCUAGCACUCCCGGUCUUUCACCAUCUUCACGAUCAUUGCUUUUUGUGCAUUUCGUAACUUUUGGUUGAAAAUUACGUGUGCUGGCCAGUGAAGACUGAGGAAAACAGGGACUUCCCAGGCAGAGCUCUGUCCUGGGUAGGUGGGAGAGGGCCAGAGUGAGAGCAGCCUUGAAGAGCGUUCCUGCUGAGCAGGAGAAGCUGGAAGCUGGUCCAGAAAGAAGAUCAGGAUCUGGAGGUGUGAGAAGGGACCAGCAAAGUGCUGGACACAUACAUGCCCACACACCACAGUUCAGUGGGCAGCCCUGAAGCUAGUCUGCUUAUGGGUUGAAGGAAGAAAAGGGCAAGGCACCACUUCUCUUCAUUUCUGCACCCAGUCUCACUAGCUAAAGACUAGUGGGCCAUUAGCUCAGUAACAGAAUGAAUGACCACUAACAAGGAGAAAGACCUACUCUCUUAGUUAUCUAGUGCUGCUAUAACAGAAAUACCACAAGUGGAUGGUUUUAACAGAGAAAUUUAUCGUCUCACAGUCUAGGAGGCUAGAAGUCUGAAUUCAGGGCGCCAUCUCUAGGGGAAGGCCUGCUCUCUCUCUCUCGACUCUGGAGGAAGGUCCUUGCAUCAAUCCUCCUUUGGUCUAGAAGCUUCUCAGCACGGGGACCCCAGGUCCAAAGGACACACUCUGCUCCUGGCACUAUUUUCUUAGUGGUAGGAGGUCCCCCUGUUUCUCUGCUCGCUUCUCUUUUAUAGCUCAAAAGAGAUUGACUCAAGAUACAGUCUAAUCUUGUGGAUGGAGUCCUACCUCAUAAACAUAACUGCCUCUAAUUCUGCCUCUGUAACAUCACACCCAUUGCCGACCAGUCAAUUCCAACUCAUAGAGGUAGGAUUUACAACACAUAGGGAAAAAAUCGCUUCAGAUGACAGAAUGGUAGACAAUCACACAAUACCGGGAAUUACAGCCUAGCCAAGUUGACACAUAUUUUGGGGGACACAAUUCAACCCAUAACACCCACCCAAGUGAGUUAGUGCCAAACUGCCAAACUUCCCUUGUGCCCUACAACCUUAGGCCCCAGGUUGAGGCCCCCCAAUACUCCCCACCCCAAAUUGCCCUUGGGCCAGGAUGUGACAGGAGCACAGAGAAGUGGCUGCGAAAUGCUCUGCUGCCUGUCUUUGUCCCCAGGGUCUUUGCUGUGGAGGAGAGAAGGGCCUCUGCCUCCAAGCCAGAAAUGUAAAGGGAGAAGGAAGGGCUUUCCUCAACUAGAAGGUUUCCACGAGGAGUGAGGUAGGAUGAAGAGAGGCCUCUAAUUCUGCAAGACUGAGGUCUGUGCCCCGCUUCCCGGCAGCACCCCAGGAAAGUGGUUACCUCAGCAAGGAUGGCUGCCUGGGAGUCUGGGUGGCCACACAUCACCUCAGUGCCCAGCUGGGAGGGAAGUCCCAGUAGCACCAUGUCCUGUGAACUCCUGAGCAGAGGUCAGAGGCCUUUGGCCCCAGGAAGAGCCCUGAAGGUGAGUCCCCAGGUUGUCUCCUUCCCACUAAAAAACCAACCCACUAGCCUGGCAGAAUCAGGGGCUGAGACAGAAACUGGGUUCUGGAGAACAAGGUUCGUCCUCUGUCUUGCUCUCAGAGUUUGAGGCCUGAGAGACUAAGUACCAGCCAGGUGUGGAACCAGGUUAGGGAACUCUCCAGCAAGCAUUUUCCCACAACAUUAAAACGAUUUUCUUCAUCCAAAAGUAAAGCAAGGAGGAGCCUGUCAAUGAAAGAGACUUAAUGGGCAUAUUAAAAACAAAACAAGAAGCACAUGAAAAAAGGCUUAUCAUUAUUAGUUACUUUUUUUGUUGUUGUUGUCGUUAGGUGCCAUCGAGUAGAUUCUGAAUCAUUGCAACACCAUGUGACAGAGUAGAACUGCCCCAUAGAGUUUUCUAGGCUGUAGUCUUUGUAAGAGCAAACUGCCAGGUCUUUCUCCUACAGAGCCACUGGGUGGGUUCAAACCACCAACCUUUAGGUUACCAACCUUGGGCUUAACCAUUUAGCCACGAGGGCUCCUCUACUAGUUGUUAAGGAAAUGUAAAUUAAAACCACAAUGCUAUACCGCUAUAGUGUUUCAUUCUGUUGUACAUAGAUAGGGUUCUAUGAGUCAGAAUUGACUCGACGGCACCUAACAAUCGCAACGUACCACCACACAACUAUUAGAACGACAGGGAUGCACAGCAACUGGGAUUGUCACACCUUGUUGGGGGGGGGCAUGCAAACUGGUACACUCCCUUUGGAAAAUAGUUUGGCAGCUUCCUAUGAAGUUAAAUAUACUUACCAUAUGACCCAUCCACACCACUAGGUAUUUACCCAAGUGAAACGAAAACUUAUGCUUACCUUAAAAACCUGUAUAUGAAUGUUUAUAGUGACUUUGUUCAUAAUCACCAAAUAUGGAAAACCACCGAAAUGCUCCUUAGUGGGGAAUGGAUUAAAAAACUGAGGAAUGCCCAUAUACUGGAAUACUACUCAGCAAUAAAAAGGAACUAACCAUUGACAGACACAUUAUGGAUGAAUCAGAGAUGCAUUCUGCUAAAUGAAAGAAGCCAGACUCAAAAGGCUGCACACAGUCUAAGACCAUUUACGUGACUUUCUGGAAAAGGCAAAACUACAAAGACAGAAAACAAAUCAGUGGUGGCCAGGGGCUGCGUAUGGGAAGAGGCUGACUACAAAGGGCCACGGGGAAUUUUGGGGAAUGAUGGAACUGUUGUAUACUUUGGUUGUAGUUGUGAUUACAAAAAUGAAUUUCACAAUAAAAAUAGUAAAUCAUACCUGUAUGAAAUUAUACCUUAACAGAAAAAAAAAAAAAAGCAAAACUAUGUAUAGUAUCUAGGAAUGCAUACUAGCUGUCAUCAAGUCAGCUCCAACUCACGGAGACCCCAUGUGUGUCAGAGUAGAACUGUGCUCCAUAAGGUUUUUAGUGGUUCAUUUUUCAGAAGUAGAUUGCCAGGCCUUUCUUCCAAGCUGCCUCUGGGUGGGCUCAAACCUCCAAACCUGGUUAGCAAUUAACCUUUUGCACCACUCAGAGACUCUAGGAAUGCAUGCAUGUGUGCUAAAAUUAUUUUUUUAAACCAGGAAAUAAUUAAAUUCCCGAGAGCAUGGCCACUGGAUACCCUUUUAGCUCAGUAAUAAAGUCACUUCCGAGGUUCACCCUUCAGCCAAAGAUUAGACAGGCCUAUAAAACAAAACAAGACUAAAAGGGCACGCCAGCCCAGGAGCAAAAACGAGAAGGCAGGAGGGAACAGGAAAGCUGGUAAUAGGGAACCCAAGGUCAAGAAUAGAGAGUGUUGCCAAGUCGUGGUGUUUUUAACCAAUGUCAUAAAACAAUAUGUGUACUGUUUAAUGAGAAGCUACUUUGUUCUGUAAAUCUUCAUCUGAAGUUCAAUAAAAAAAAAAAAAAUACCAUGAAAGUCAGGGUAGUAGUUAAUUUUAAGGGGUGGGUAGCUUUAUGAUUGGGACAUGGAGGGUUCCUGGGGAGACCAGCAAAAAUCUCUUUCUCUACCUGAGUGUUGGCUACAGAGGUGUUUGCCUCCUAAUAAUUCACUAAGCUAUCCAUUUUUAGUAUGUAGUUUUCUGUAUCUCUGCUAUAUUUAAAACAAAGAUAGUUGAAGAGAAUUUAUGGACGGAAUUAUUUUUAGGUUUUUUAAAUGGGAAAAUGGUAUUGUGGUUAUGUUUUUUAAAAGAGUCCUUGCCUUUUAGAGACGCAGAUUGAAAUAUUUAUAGGUGGGAUGGUGUGCUGCCUGGAAUUUGCUUCAGAAUAAUACAGGAGGAGGACCAGGUACCGUAGAGAUGAGCAGAACUGGCCAUGAAUUUAUUACAGCUGAAGCUGGGGGGUGGCCACAGGGUUAGACUCUUCUGUCUACUGGUGUGUGUGUUUACAUUUUCUACAAAGAGGAAGUCCGGGGGCGGGGGGAAGAAUCAACAGUUGCAGUACGUGUCUAGCUCUACACCACGAAGCUCAGGAGAUAUGCCAGAUGGAGAGAGAGGUCUGACUGCCCUUAGGAAAAUGUUUUAAAAAAAAAAAACCAGGAGCUUUCAGAGUAGACUGGUCCUAAAGUGCUGCCUGAAAAAAGAGCUUAAAUUCCCCCGAAGUAUAUACCCUCAGCCUCCUUCCCAAGUUAUUACCAGUAUACUCCAGUCCUCUGUGGGGCAGCUGCUCAGCCUCAUAUUGGGGUUUAAUGCGUUCUGUCACCAAGUGCUGGAAUUGAUGCAUCAAUCUUCCUCCUGCGGAACUUACUAUUUUUUUUUCCUUUACUUACAGUGAUUAUUUCAUUGAUAAUAAUCAUACCCAAAAAUUAUUUCACUCAGGUAUAGAAACAUGCCAACAACAGGUAUAGAGAAAGCAAAACUGACCAGAUUAUUUAUGCUUCC